UUACAACACCACCACCACCACCACCACCACCACCAUGACCAAAGAAUCUCCGCUCAACCUUUUCUCAAACGCAUCCAAAAUUUCUCCAAAUUGCAUAGAUGCAUAGCCUUAGAUUUUUCUCUCUCUACCAAAUCAUCUUCCCGAUUCAAGCUUCAGAGAGGGAAUCAGGAAGAUGACUAACCAAAACCGCUUCCUGAUUUUAUUCCGGAUCAUCGUAGGCCCUGAUGCUUUUGAUUAACCUGGCGGCGGCGGCGAGAAGAGGAACGAAGUUGAGUGGUUAAAGCACCUCAGCCGUUUUUCUUCAAUGUUAUGUGGCUGAUUCUCUGUCUCUUUCACAGGAUCAGAUCGUGUUUUCAUUCACCACUCUUCACUCAAAAUGAGCAGCUCAAUGGAAAACUCGCUAGAUUGGUUGUGUUCUUUUCUGAAACAUAUGGAAAUAUAAGGAUGGCUAGAGUGUGCUGGUUUGGAAAGCUUACUGCUUCCUAUCAUGUGCUUCUCUUUGCUGGUGAGUGGUGAUGGUGUCAAAGUAGAUGAGGAGAUGUCAAAGUUACUUCCUUCUCAAAAAAAGAAAAUGAGACAAAAACAAAGAAAGGCAGAAGCAAGAGCUAAGAAAGGGGCAUAGGAAAAGAAUGAAGAGUUAAGUGCCAGUGAGGUAUCCAAGUCUAGAAAACGGCAUGUAAAACCUGUGAAUCCUGAUCCACAUGGGGAGAAGUUAUUGCAGGUGGAUCGGGUAUAUCUUGGUUCAUACAAUGUGGUAGCUGUCUUAGAUCAUGAAAGGAAGCGAACAUUUAUGAUAAGAAAGGAAGGACUUCUUGGUAAGUUCUCUAUAGGCAACACUUGCAACUCAAAUCAAGUACUAUAAUUAGUAAAACUAACCAUCCAAAUUAACUUUGGUGUUUCAUAGUUGUUUGGAAUCCGCAGGAGAAAAAAUCCAAGUCAGUGGUAAAUUUAGGGGAUGAAGAGUAGAAGCAGCUGCUAUGUGUGAAUGGUGCUGCAGUUUGAAAACCAAUCACCUUAAAGCCAGGAGAAGAAUGGAAAGGUAUAACUGGAGCUAGAACACCAGUUUCACUCUUAUAUAACAUAUCUAUUUUUGGGAGCCUCAGAGUCAAUGGACCCAACUUCUAUGUUUCUGCUAAGAAUUAUGCAGAUAUUCUCUUUGGCAAACAAGAUUACAAUUCAAGGUAUUUAUUUCAGUUCAUAUGUUGCAGAUAAAUUUUUUUCAUCAAGUGAGAUCCAUGAGUACUCCUAUGUCUGAAAGCGAGAAACUGAUAUGGAGUGUUUUAGAAGCUGAGCGCUCAACUAUUAGUCAGCUGCAUGAGAAAACUCUGUUUGAGGCAAACAACUCUUUCCUUGAAAAACAUAAAGAUUCUUUGCAGAAUUGUUUCUUCAUUAUUUUGUUUCUUCUCUAGAGACAGAAAAGAUUGCAGAAAGGCUAACCCGUUUAUUGAAUGUAUCAGAUUUAGAGUGAGAUUAUGCUAUAGGUUGAAAUGCAGUGAAUGCUUGAAGUUUAGAAAAUUUGUGCACUUUUUAAUGUUCAUGAAUAAUGGUGAAUCUAUCCAGGAGCACCUCUAAAAAACCCUCCAAAAGGCACUGCAAACCUAUUCAAUUCAAGACACACAUACCAUAUAAUCUAAUUCAAAUUACGUGAUUUCAUUUUAAUGCA